rnacentral:rRNA from 1 species
UACGGGGGGUGCGAGCGUUAAUCGGACUUACUGGGCGUAAAGCGCACGUAGGCGGAUCAUUAAGUUAGAUGUGAAAUACCUGGGCUCAACCUGGGAAUUGCAUUUAAUACUGGUGAACUAGAGUAUGGCAGAGGGAAGUGGAAUUUCCGGUGUAGCGGUGAAAUGCGUAGAUAUCGGAAGGAACAUCAGUGGCGAAGGCGACUUCCUGGGCUAAUACUGACACUGAGGAGCGAAAGCGUGGGUAUCGAACAGG